UCUGGCGGCGUGCCUAUAAUGCAAGUCCAGCGGGUAUCGAAAGAUCCAGCGGCGGACGGGUGAGGAACACGUGGGGAAUCUGCCUAACAGACCGGAAUAACGCCUGGAAACGGGUGCUAAAGGCCGGAUAGGCGCAUGAGGCGCAUGCCUGAUGCGGGAAAGGAUGCUAUGGCAUCGAGGAGAGAGGACCCCGCGGCGCAUUAGCUAGUUGGUAGGGUAAAGGCCUACCAAGGCGACGAUGCGUAGCCGACCUGAGAGGGUGACCGGCCACGCUGGGACUGAGACACGGCCCAGACUCCUACGGGAGGCAGCAGUAGGGAAUCUUCCGCAAUGGGCGCAAGCCUGACGGAGCAACGCCGCGUGAGCGAGGAAGGCCUUCGGGUUGUAAAGCUCAGUCAAGGGGGAAGAGCGGCAAGGAGAGGGAAUGCUCUUUGCGAGACGGUACCCCAAGAGGAAGCCCCGGCAAACUACGUGCCAGCAGCCGCGGUAAU
rnacentral:rRNA from 1 species